rnacentral:rRNA from 1 species
GGUGCCUUCGGGAACUCUGACACAGGUGCUGCAUGGCUGUCGUCAGCUCGUGUCGUGAGAUGGUUGGGUUAACGUCCCGUAACGAGCGCAACCCUUGUCCUUAGUUACCAGCACGUUAUGGUGGGCACUCGUAAGGAGACUGCCGGUGACAAACCGGAGGAAGGUGGGGAUGACGUCAAGUCAUCAUGGCCCUUACGGCCUGGGCUACACACGUGCUACAAUGGUCGGUACAAAGGGUUGCCAAGCCGCGAGGUGGAGCUAAUCCCAUAAAACCGAAUCGUAGUCCGGAUCGCAGUCUGCAACUCGACUGCGUGAAGUCGGAAUCGCUAGUAAUCGCAGAUCAGCCAAGCUGCGGUGAAUACGUUCCCGGGCCUU